GCUGCAUGGCUGUCGUCAGCUCGUGUCGUGAGAUGUUCGGUUAAGUCCGGCAACGAGCGCAACCCACAUCUUUAGUUGCCAGCAGUUCGGCUGGGCACUCUAGAGAAACUGCCCGUGAUAAGCGGGAGGAAGGUGUGGAUGACGUCAAGUCCUCAUGGCCCUUACGGGUUGGGCUACACACGUGCUACAAUGGUAGGUACAGAGGGCAGCUACAUGGUGACAUGAUGCGAAUCUCGAAAGCCUAUCUCAGUUCGGAUUGGAGUCUGCAACUCGACUCCAUGAAGUUGGAAUCGCUAGUAAUGGCGCAU
rnacentral:rRNA from 1 species